AGACAUGAAGUAGAGGUCCUGACUAUGUCUAGUCAUUAAAGAUCCCAUAGUGUUGUUUGCAGAGGCAGUCACGUGGCCCGGUCCUUGUGAAGGAGGUGCCACCCGCUGCCGUGGGCUCAGGACCCCGGGGUUACGUCCCCGUGGGAUUGCAGUGACCAGACGAAGUGCCUCACCUCACCUCGACCCACGCUGCCGUGCGUGUUUCCCCUGCCUGAGAGAUAUGGCCUUCUGAAGGGUGUCUGCAGCACCAUGUGGCAUCCCGCAGGGAGGGAGGGGAGGGCUCGCACAGACCACAGAGAGAAACCGUGGUGUUCAAGCCAGGAGGCACACAUGUAUGACAGUAAACACCUAUUUUGCAACAAGUCCGGUUAUGCUCAGUAAAAGAGGAGAAGCUGGUCUUCUGCAGUUGGCUGAGAGGGACACAAAAUUAUAAUCUGACCUUGAGUAAACUGCAUCCCAUUUCCCCGUAGUGCCUUUUGACCCCGCACUGGGAUGUCAGGAUGGUGGCAUUUGCUCUUAGCCCUCACACUAUUCUUGGCCUAGAUGUGGAAACUGAAUUCAAAUGUA